CACAAGUGGCUGGAGGUCCGUACAGUGAUACAAGUGGCCGGAGGUCUGCACAUCGCCACCAGUAGCCGGAGGCCGGAGGGACAACGGAGAGAGAACCACAAAACAAAGAAAGAGUAUGAGAGUUGUUCGGAGAGAAAAAUCAAACUCCCACCUCAUCCCCCGCAUAAAAAAUAACGGCAUCCAAUCAUUAACCCCUAAAAUCCGCCCCUCCCGCACAAAAGGGCACAAUGACAUCGACCCCUGAUAAAAAUACCAACCUUACCCCGCACAACUGCGGAGGAGUUGGUGUCACCAGUGUAGAGGCGGCCACAUCGGGAGCAGCGGACACAACGGACGACCCUGGAAGAUUGACAGGUGAAGUGUCGCCUCGCCUGGAAGGAUGUUUGGACAACGGAGAGAGUUCGGCCGACUGGCCCUUUCACUAUGACACCCCAAACUCCACAUCAAAUUUGUCCAAACAAAUCUGGCCAGACUUUAAUGACCAAUAAAUAUAAUUCCUCUCAGCGA